AACAUGUAAUGCAUGCUGGAAACGAAUAUUAUCUUACCCACCUGACAAACUUUAUUUUUUUUAAAAAAAAUAAGUUGGCACAUUUUUAUUUUUUUUUUGGGUUGUUGAUGUUGGAUAGUGGAUGGAAUGGAGCCUUUCUUCCUCCCUCUUCUUUCUUUUUAAAAUCCUGGCAUGUUAUUUCAGCCUGACAUCUUUGUGUUUGUCAUAUACCUGCUGAAUGAUUAAUCCAGAAGAUUUAAUGUUUUUCAGUCAAAGGGACCUGGGAUGUUUCAAUGGGAUUCUUUUAAUCUCACCUCCAAUCUGAAUCACAGCCACCAAAGAAGCGUGGGAGGGGAGCUGUCUGUUGUAAGCAAAGUUGUCAAGCAGCUAACCAGAGUUUCACCAUGAGACAAAAAAACAACUGGAAGAAGAUAACCAAUCUGAAAAGACUGAGAAGCACAUUGGAUCUUCGAGUAACAUUUCUGAAACUGUCUUCUGAAGUAUGGGUGGAGCCCAAACAAAGAGGCUCAUUGCCUUGAGCUCCUGAAUGAAAGCCAAGAUAUAAAUAUAAAUAGUAAACAAACAAAUAAAAAGUCAGAUGUGUGCCUAAGAACCUCAAUUUUGAAACAACUGUACUGGCUGUUUACUUCUAGCCCCAAAUCAAAGUGCUGGAACUUACCUGGAAGUCUCAAAUUGUUUGGAAUCCUGAUACCGGAAGGAACUCAUCUUACUUCUUCAUCCAUUAAAGGCCCCAUUCACCUGUUUUUAUUAGUUAUUUUAAAAAAAGAAUGACACCGUUAAAGAAGCCUACUUUGUGCAUCUUUUCAAUGCCAUGCAAAAUUGUCAUCUGUUUUAAAUUACUGUAUUUUUUUUUGUUUGAUCAGUUUUAGGAUCAAACUGGACGUGGGAAAGGAUAUGAGAUAGUAAAAAUAUAUUAGACUAACAAAUGUAUAACAUGUUGGACAAUGGCUGUCUCAUCACUUUCCAAAUUCCCUUAAAAUGCCAGGAAAAACUGAUCUUAAAAAAUUAUGAGAUCUAAAGAAAACAUCUUGAAAUACCCAGUCUGCUCUAUGUAGUAGCAGUUUCUAGUUAUUCUUAUUCUCAUCUAGUUAUUUAUUCUACUCUAAAGUGACUUUCCUUUCCCUAUGUGGAAUGUUGAUGAGAGGUCCCA